CCUACGGGAGGCAGCAGUGGGGAAUUUUGGACAAUGGGCGCAAGCCUGAUCCAGCUAUUCCGCGUGUGGGAAGACGGCCUUCGGGUUGUAAACCACUUUUGUAGAGAACGAAAAGUCUAUUGAUAAUACCGAUAGAUGAUGACGGUUCUCUAAGAAUAAGCACCGUCUAACUACGUGCCAGCCGCCGCGGUAAUACGUAGGGUGCGAGCUUUAAUCGGAAUUACUGGGGGUAAAGGCUGUGCAGGCGGGUUUGCAAGAUGGAUGUGAAAGGCCCGGGGUUAACCUGGGAAAGCCAUACAUGACUGAAAGACUAGAGUGCGUGAGAGGGGGGUGGAAUUCCAAGUGUAGCAGUGAAAUGCGUAGAUAUUUGGAAGAACACCGAUGGCGAAGGCAGCCCCCUGGGACGCAACUGACGCUCAUACACGAAAGCGUGGGGAGCAAACAGGAUUAGAUACCCUUGUAGUC
rnacentral:rRNA from 1 species